UAGCGGCGUGGNUUAGGCAUGCGCGUCGAACGGGAUCCAGGCUUCGGUCUGGUGAGAGUGGCGAAAGGGUGAGUAAUGCUUAGAUAACCCACCUUUGGCUCCGGGAUAACCGAGGGAAGCUUCGGCUAAUACCGGAUAGGGUCGGCGGAUCGCAUGAUCUGCCGAAUAAAGAGGCCUCUGAAUAUGCUAUUCGGCCAAAGACGGGUCUAAGUCCUAUCAGCUUGUUGGUGAGGUAAUGGCUCACCAAGGCGACGACGGGUAGCCGGCCUGAGAGGGCGAUCGGCCACACUGGAACUGAGACACUGUCCAGACUCCUACGGGAGGCUGCAGUCGAGAAUCUUCCGCAAUGGGGGCAACCCUGACGGAGCGACGCCGCGUGCGGGACGAAGGCCUUCGGGUUGUAAACCGCUGUCGUAGGUUAAGAAAUGUCUUGUCGUGAAAGCGGCUUGACUUGACAAAGGCCUAAAAGGAAGCCACGGCUAACUUCGUGCCAGCAGCCGCGGUAAGACGAAGGUGGCAACCGUUGUUCGGAAUCACUGGGCAUAAAGAGCACGUAGGCGGGUCUUUAAGUCGGGUGUGAAAUCCCUCGGCCCAACCGAGGAACUGCCCCCGAUACUGAAGGCCUUGAGGGCAGGAGGGGAGUGUGGAAUUCCUG
rnacentral:rRNA from 1 species